GCCAGUGUGGUUUAGUGGUUUGAGUGUUGGACUAUGUUUCUGGAGACUAGGGUUCAAAUUCCAGCUCAGCCA